UACGUAGGGCGCAAGCGUUGUCCGGAAUUAUUGGGCGUAAAGAGCUCGUAGGCGGCCUGUUGCGUCCGCUGUGAAAUCCCGGGGCUCAACCCCGGGCGUGCAGUGGAUACGGGCUGGCUGGAGGCAGGCAGGGGAGAACGGAAUUCCUGGUGUAGCGGUGAAAUGCGCAGAUAUCAGGAGGAACACCGAUGGCGAAGGCAGCUCGCUGGGACGGUACUGGACGCCUGAGGCGCGAAAGCGUGGGGAGCGAACAGG
rnacentral:rRNA from 1 species